CAGUCGUACUAACGGGAAAUCAACCUAUUUGAGUUUGUGAGGUUUGGAUUCCGAAGAGUGUGAACCUUCGGGUUCGAAUAUUUGCUGUCUUUUAGGCGUUAAUUUCUCGUUCGGUAGGUUAACAUCGUA
rnacentral:rRNA from 1 species